rnacentral:rRNA from 1 species
CGCCAGACUCCUACGGGAGGCAGCAGUGAGGAAUAUUGGUCAAUGGGCGAGAGCCUGAACCAGCCAAGUCGCGUGAGGGAGGACGGCCCUACGGGUUGUAAACCUCUUUUGCCGGGGGACAAACGGCGGCACGCGUGCCGUCCUGAGGGUACCCGGAGAAAAAGCAUCGGCUAACUCCGUGCCAGCAGCCGCGGUAAUACGGAGGAUGCGAGCGUUAUCCGGAUUUAUUGGGUUUAAAGGGUGCGUAGGCGGUUCGAUAAGUUAGAGGUGAAAUCCCGGGGCUCAACUCCGGCACUGCCUCUGAUACUGUCGGGCUAGGGUUUAGUUGCGGUAGGCGGAAUGUAUGGUGUAGCGGUGAAAUGCAUAGAGAUCAUACAGAACACCGAUUGCGAAGGCAGCUUACCAAACUACGACUGACGUUGAGGCACGAAAGCGUGGGGAGCAAACAGGAUUAGAUACCCUGGUAAG